rnacentral:rRNA from 1 species
UACGUAGGGGGCAAGCGUUGUCCGGAUUUAUUGGGCGUAAAGAGCGUGUAGGCGGCUUUACAGGUCCGUUGUGAAAACUCGAGGCUCAACCUCGAGACGCCGGUGGAAACCGUAAAGCUAGAGUCCGGAAGAGGAGAAUGGAAUUCCUGGUGUAGCGGUGAAAUGCGUAGAUAUCUGGAGGAACACCGGUGGCGAAGGCGGCAUCCUGGACCGGCAUUGACGCUGAGGCGCGAAAGCCAGGGGAGCAAACGGG